CGCAGCUUUGUCAAAUUCAGCGGUUCCUGCUCCGUGGCGCCCGCUGGCCGUGAAGGCUGCAACAGUAAGAGGUGUCCAUGGGCCCCGAUCUCUUUACAUGGACAUCGGGGAUAAAUGGCGCAGCCGACAUCU